UACGGGGGGAGCAAGCGUUGUUCGGAUUUACUGGGCGUAAAGGGCGCGUAGGCGGUCAGUGCAAGUCAGUUGUGAAAUCUCCGGGCUUAACUCGGAAAGGUCAACUGAUACUGCUCGACUAGAGUGCGGAAGGGGCAACUGGAAUUCUUGGUGUAGCGGUGAAAUGCGCAGAUAUCAGGAGGAACACCGGUGGCGAAGGCGCCACUCUGGGCCGAAACUGACGCUGAGGAGCGAAAGCGUGGGUAGCAAACAGG
rnacentral:rRNA from 1 species